UUAAUUAUUAGGUUAAUAACAUUGGAAAAUUUUGAAAUUUGAUUUUUUAAAUACUUCAAAUGGUCUAAAUCAUGUUCAAUGUUCAACGAUACUGAUCGCUAAUUUAAAAACUCCAUCAUCGAAAUAAAUUGGUCUCAACGAAAUCCAUUUACUACCGAUAAUAUUCUAGCUCAACUCAAUAUAACUACAUAGCACAAGCAUUGUAAUCAACAUCAUAAAAAAUUAUAUAUAUAUAGAGAGAGAGAGAGACAGAGUUCCGCUAUCUUCAUUCAUACUGGACUCUUUUCACAUGUUACCGAAACAAAAGAACAACAAAGAAUACAUUUGCAGAGUAACAAUCAGACGAUUUUCACAGGCCUGUAAGUUUUCUGUGAAGAUGCCCUUCAGCAGAGUGCUCGUCGCCGUCGUGGUGGUGGAAAAUGUAGGUUAGGGUACCGACCAGGCAAAGCACCGAGCCGACAAGAAGCUUAUCAUACCGUUCUACCCAGUGAAACUUGAUUUGGCUCGCGCCGUAGUAUGAUAGAGCCACCAGAGAGGUCAUCACCGUGAUUGUACUGCAUUUCAGAGAAUAAAAUGAUCUAAAUUUACGAAUUCAAGGGAUCGAAGUAAAAGACUAAGAAACACAACAAUUAAGGAGUCAUUUGGUACUGCAGUUGUUUUUCAGUUUAAAUAAACACAAAUUCUGAUGGUCGAUAAACUGGUCUAUAGACUUUUCUUAGGUCUGUCAUUAUUGACUAGCUUGCAAUGCAAACCAUCGGGGAGUCAGAAGGCAUCGAAGGCAUCUUCUUAAGAAAGAGUAAAAAGUUACGACUAAUUUUUUGUUUUUGUUUUUGUUUUUUGGGGAAACAAACUCUUUGGAUGUAUAGACAGACGAGUAUUCUAACAUCCACCCACACUCUAUUAUAUUAAGUUUGCAUUAAGAAAAACAAAAAACUGGCAAUGCUACCAAACGAUGCCUGAGUAUCUGUCUGAGAAAAGAAAUCAACUGGAAAAUCAUCUAACAGAUCAAGAACAUUGUUGAUAUACUUCUUGAUUUUAUCUUCUAAAGCAUUAAAAACAAAGGGUUCAAUUGAAAGCUCCCACUUCUAGGUUUUACCUGAAAUUGGUGGCGAUUUUAAUGGAAGUCAACAUGUCAACAUGGCUUUGAGAAUCAUUAAACUCGACAUCACAUCCCUCAAAAGCUUGAACGAGGUCAUACUCACCUGUCUUUCGUAAUGUCCUCACAUAAUAGGUAGGUAAUAAACACGGCCUAGAAAAGCAACUUGCAUAAUGCCCUUGCUAUUCUCCAUGAGACGAGUGACCGAUAACCUACUUUUGGGAUUUACCUAAAUUUAAAAGGCUCCACUAAAACAGAAGAAAUUUGGUAUUUACCCGCUCCGAAACUACAACUAUGUGCACUUCUCCUUAUGAUGGUAGGUAGCAAACUUUUGCCACUGAAGCUCCUGGUAUAUUGAAAUUCCGGGGGACGAAACAUAUCUAUGAAACAUCUGCUGACUUCAUACUAUCUUUUUCAUAUUGACACAAAAGUAGCGACUAAGCAAUCAACCCAUGUUUGGACAACAGGACAAAAUAUUCCUCAUAUCUACAGAUUGAAAAACAAUACUCUAACCAAGAUAGUCAAAUAAACAAAAUGGCGCACCUGAAUAGUAGCACGAUGAUGGCGAGAAUCAUCAUGGAGGACGAGUUACCGACCGCAAGAAACACAGGAAGGGUUGUUGCGCAUGGAGAUAAUGCGGGUACAAGUACCAGCCCAGCCACAGCCAUCUUCUCCAUCGGAUGGUUGUGGGCAUGACUAUGCCCUCCCUUCCCCAGAGCAAAUAAUACGAUAUAGCUUGCUCCUAGAAAUAUGAGCAAAAGGGAAGCAAGUUUAUGCACUGUCUCCUCGCCUGCAAUAGUGUUAGCCAUAGUUACUGCUGUGAUGCCAAGAAGAGAGGUCGAAACCACAUGCAAGACACCUCCAAAUGCAGCUGCGAGGUUGAGAAGGGAGUUUUUAUUUAGCCACACAUACAUACCAUAAAAUGUAAGAAUGAAGGAAAGCACAACUCUGAGAAGAACUACGGCCUAGCAAACCGAAUAAAGGUUACAGACAAAAAAGGUAUACGGAUUUUGCCAACCCUAUAAGCCUCUAAAUGUAGAUAUAGUCAUUGGUUGUGGACUCUAUCCGAUGCGACAUUGUUGGAGCUAAUGACUCCCUUGACUUUGAUCUGUUGGUCACAAUUGAAGUAACCGUCGAUAUUCGAUAAAACCAAAUAAUUCGCCAAUUCACAUGCAACAGCAAGUUCUGUGGGCCAAAAUUAAUCAGGAAAGUUACUCAUUUUGAAGGUUUUAUGGAUCAACUAGGUUUCCACCAUUUACGUACAAGACGAAAAUUAGGUUUCCCUUUUCUUGUCAGAAUUCAAAUGUAUUAAAAUUUGGGUUCAGGUCUUUAGCAGAUUUGAAGAAAAUAGCAAAGUGCAAUAAAAAACGCAAGAUUGUUUCGAUACAGCUUUACUCUUCAGAGGCACAUUACUCCACAAAUAAUCUAGAUUUUCCCCUACUUCGUUAAAUAGACUAAGAGCCAAAACUAACAAAUUUCUCCAAUGUCUUGGGGACCUUAGAUAUACUUAGCUGAUCACAUUUGAUCCAUCGUACACAAAAUUUCCGGGUAGUAUAAACUCACUUUUCACAACUUGCAAGUCCAUCCAUUCAUUCAAUGUCGACAUCGCUUCCCCAUGAACUCUAAACGCAUCCCAUGACUACCAGCUGACGUCCAUUCCUGUUCCCCUGUCCAAAUCCUCAAAUCUCUCAGAGCCUCGUAAAUUCUAACACUCUAGAUGAUCGAUCUCUAGAUGCUGGAAAUGAUUUAAAAUUUACUUUCCUAUACUAAACUAGCCGGAUAUGGCGCCCAGAGGAGAGCCUGAAAAGAAACCUUGAAGAUCUAAUCUACUCAUUUUCUUCUUUUUAAAUCUCAUAAACUCUUGAAAAAACUGAAAGUUCUGCCCAAGUGUCAAAAUAAUAUUAUCGAGAGAACACAUGAACCCUCUUCUUCCAUUAAUCCAACAGAAUAUUCUUCUGCAGAAGAAAUGCAUCUUCUAAAAUAGGGUCUAAACAAAUGGGUCCGAUCCAACUCCGCUACCCAAUAACCCCCUAGACAAGCUUCUCUUUGUAUCAUGCAAAUCACGAAAUCGUUAGACAGGUUGUUUCGACCUGACGCUUUUACACAUACAGGAGAGAAUCUGUCCAUGCGGCAGAUCCGUUGCCCUCCCAGUUGGACUUCCACACCGGAGCAUAACAGAUUGAGCUGGUAUGAAAGGUUUCAAAGCACGAUAGCCGAUUUUGGAUUAUUGGGUGGAUUACGAUACAUAUCGGUCUCGUAUCGUCGUACGGUACAUAUACUAGGCCUUAUUUGGACGUCAUAAUAACAUAUCCAAUGAUAACUUAUUCGGUACAAGCAUAUAGCUCAGACCUUACUCGGAUGUCAGAAUAACAUACAUAUCCAAUGAUAAAUGAUUGAAAACUAGGAGUUUUUUUUUUUUUUGCUCCUCGAAAGGCGGGUUUGGAUAGCAAGCAUAUUCCACCUACGAACCAGCCGAUUCAUCUAAUUCCUCAAAUUAGUAUAUCAGACCGCGAUCAUCAUCGUGAAAAUUCUUGAAUAGAUCGAGUGAGGAAGAUGUUCGUGCAUCCAAACAGGGUCUGCAUCUGCAUACUAAGAAGAAGAAGAAGAAGAGGAUAGAGGAUUGAAGGGACUGACUGAUGAGGAGGGUGGUGGAGAGGGACCAGUUCUGGGCGCGGCCGACGAUGGAGAAGGGGAGCCAGUGCGUGGGGAUGAAGGAGUGCAGCAGCGACACCGUCGCGAUCCCACCCAUCGUCGACGCCUCCUCCGCGCUCAACCCCCCACCACCCCCACCAUUCACCGCCAUUUGAGCACCACCACCACCACUACUGCUACUGCUACCGCAACUGUGCUGGAGCGGAGAGAGAUCCCAAGAACCCUAAUAACGAAAACUGUUGUUCUUCUACUAUCGCGCCGUGUUCCCCAGAUCCCUAAUCUUGUUUGAUCUUUUACUUUUUAGAUCUGGGACCCAGAUCCGGAGAAGAAGAUGAAGAAGAAGAAGAAGAUCGAGAAAAACCAAAAAAGCCAAAAGGAUUCGGUAAGAGGAAAAGAAAAAUUCCUGGCGAAAAAGAAUUUGGGGCUCGAACCGAACAGCGCGAGAAUGGAGGGGAGAGUGAGUGACGCUCUUUUCUCACGUUGAUCCGAAUUUUAAUUAUUAUUAUUAUUAUUUUGACUUAAAUUAACUAUUUUUUCAAAAUUAAUGAGCUUAUAAAAGAUAUUAUAAUUAUAAAAAUAAGUUUUAAAGUUAUUCUUGACUGAUAAAUAAUUCAUUAUUUCUUGAAUAUCAUAAAAUUUAUUUAUUAUUUUUUAUUCAAAAAAUUAAAAUUAUUUUUACUGUUUAUUAUGUCUAUUUUUUUAAAAAAAAUAAAUUAUUAAUCGCUUGGGUCUAAUUUUAUAAAUAAAAAUUCGGAAUAUCUAUUUUCACAAUUAAAAAAAUUUGCACGAUUAGUUGCGGGAAAAUCCAUUCCUAACUUUUGUUUUUCUUUAUUUUUUUUGGCCAAAAACUCACUUCUAACUUUUAUUUUAUAUUUUAUUUCAAAUAAAUCUGGAGCAUUUAAAUUUAUCUUAAUUUUGAUAAAAUAUAUUAAGUCGACUCUAAUAAAAUCAUAUCUGCUCAUGUAAAUGACAAUUAUGGUCCAUCAAAAAAAUUUAAGUACUACUUUAAGCUCGAUAUUAAAAAUAUUGAAUGCUCUAAAAAAAGUAGUAUUUGCUGGUAUAUAUCAAGAUCAUUAUCAAGAUCAUCGUCCAUAAGUCUCUGAUCAAUUUUGAUACUAAUAUAUUUUUCUUAUUUUCUGAAGAGUUUCAUAACACUUUUGGUUCAAAAAUAAUUAAAAUAAAAUUAAAAUUAAAAUACAAAAUAAAAAAAUAAUUUAAAAUUAAGUUUGCACCUCAAAACAUAAAACUAAAUUUAUAAUUUAAAUUCAAACUAAAAAUUAAAUAUUAAAAUUCCCAUCAAAAUAUUAAAAUGAUAAGCCAAAAUUUAAAGUAUAAUUUAAAAUUUUAAAAUUUAGUGGACAAUUCAAAAAAGUAAAACUAAUUUUUGAUUUGAAUUAAAUUCAAACUUACAAUUAUAGAUCAAAUCCAAAAUACUUGUAUUGAAUAUGUACUUUCAUUUAAUUUCUAAAUCAAAAUCUAGAGUUAAAAAUUUAAUUUCUAAAUUUAAAUUUAUAAUUUAAUUAAAAAUCAAAGUCAAAAAAAUAGCAAAAUGUAAUUGAGGUAUUUUUUUAAAGUGUAUUAUUUUUAUCUGGAUUCAAUUCAGAGUCUAACUUUCGAGGUUGGAUUGAAAAAAAAAAGUGAUAGGAGAUUCUCAUUCAUCGAGAAGUGAAAUCGAAAUAAUAAUCUCGCAUACCAAACACUCACGAUUUGUCCAUUCGAAGUCCAAGAUGAAAAAUAAAUGAACAAAACACGCCCUCGGCGCGGUGAGAUUAGGCUUGGAAAAAAAAUAGGAACCAAUUGGGAUUUUAAUUCUAAUUCCGAUUGUAAAAAUUAAAAAGUCGGACAUUAAAAUAAAAAUUUGGGUGAAUGGUGAAAAUGCAAUUAACCCAAUUGAAAAAUGUUGGGCAAAACUGUUUUCAAAUACAUUUAUAAUUACUAAAAUUAUCCCACUAUUCCACAAACUUCUACAAUUAGUAGUUAUUAGGCUUAAUUUGGUAUGAAGGCUUAUCAAACGCUUUUUAGAUAAAAUGGAAUUGAAAAAAACACAUACAAAAAUAUGCUUUUGCGUUCUCCAGUAAAACCACAGAAAAUAUAUAGUAAUCGACUCAUCACGAUAUGCGAAAGUAAUAUUACAUACGGAAAUAAAUAAAAUAUUUUUUCAACGUAUUUUUUUACCGCACAUAACGCAAUCUCUCGAGAUCUUAGUGAACUUCUGUUUAACGCC
rnacentral:lncRNA from 1 species